AUCGAAACGAAAAUAAAAUCGUCCUUCAUUCUUCUCCGGUCAAUCUCCGUAGAAUCUGUAGUUCCUAUUCGGUAGCUGAUCUCAGUGUUAGCUGCAGCAAACGCAACUACCUAUGGUGACAGUGUUUGAGGUGGAGCCGCCGAGCCCGUUGAGGUACGUGAUUGGAGCCGCCAUCAUGAUGGCCGGCGUCGUUUUGCCUCUCGGCUACAUGAUGUUCCGCAACAAGCGUGUGCCUUCCUCUUCUUACUCCAAACAGACGUAGGAACAAGGUUUUGAUAUAGAGGUGUGCAAGAGGAAACUCAGGAAAGUGUCAAAAGCUUCUUUUUAUGCUUUGAUGGGGGGUAGCAAAGAGGUGGGAGGAGAGCUCUGCUGCAUAUUCUUGUAAAUGCAUUAAAAUCCAUAUUGUAGUGUGUUCAAUUGAUUAGACAUUUCAAUGGAUAUGGGUGUUGAUUCCUAGAGUUUUAGUUUGGUUCUGUUUUCAUGACUGGGGUCACACGAUGGCUCUUACUGCUACUGAUCAAAUAAGAAAGAAAGGAAUUAUUGAUGUUUAACCGUGAA